rnacentral:rRNA from 1 species
GAUGAACGCUAGCUACAGGCUUAACACAUGCAAGUCGAGGGGAAACGAUGAGAGAGCUUGCUCUCUUAGUCGUCGACCGGCGCACGGGUGAGUAACGCGUAUCCAACCUGCCUCUGACUAAGGGAUAACCCGUCGAAAGUCGGACUAAUACCUUAUGCAGUCGUCGGAAGUCAUCUGAUGACGACGAAAGAUUUCAUCGGUGAGAGAUGGGGAUGCGUCUGAUUAGCUUGUUGGCGGGGUAACGGCCCACCAAGGCGACGAUCAGUAGGGGUUCUGAGAGGAAGGUCCCCCACAUUGGAACUGAGACACGGUCCAAACUCCUACGGGAGGCAGCAGUGAGGAAUAUUGGUCAAUGGGCGAGAGCCUGAACCAGCCAAGUAGCGUGCAGGAUGACGGCCCUAUGGGUUGUAAACUGCUUUUAUGCGGGGAUAAAGUGAGGGACGUGUCCUUCAUUGCAGGUACCG